UACGUAGGCAGCAAGCGUUGUUCGGAAUUACUGGGCGUAAAGAGUGUGUAGGCGGUGCUCUAAGUCUGUUGUGAAAUCUCCCGGCUUAACCGGGAGGGUGCGGCGGAAACUGGAGUGCUUGAGGGUGGGAGAGGUAAGCGGAAUUCCUGGUGUAGCGGUGAAAUGCGUAGAUAUCAGGAGGAACACCUGUGGCGAAAGCGGCGCACUGGACCAAAACUGACGCUGAGGCGCGAAAGCUAGGGGGAGCAAACGGG
rnacentral:rRNA from 1 species